rnacentral:rRNA from 1 species
UACGAAGGGGGGCUAGCGUUGUUCGGAAUUACUGGGCGUAAAGGGCGCGUAGGCGGUGUGUCAAGUCAGGCGUGAAAGCCCCGGGCUCAACCUGGGAACCGCGCUUGAGACUGGCACGCUCGAGUUCGGGAGAGGAUGGUGGAAUUCCCAGUGUAGAGGUGAAAUUCGUAGAUAUCAAGCGGAACACCGGUGGCGAAGGCGGCCUUCUGGACAGGUGACUGACGCUGAGACGCGAAAGCGUGGGGAGCAAACAGGAUUGAGAU